AACGAACGCUGGCGGCAUGCCUAACACAUGCAAGUCGAACGAGACCUUCGGGUCUAGUUGCGCACGUGUGCGUAACGCGUGGGAACCUGCCCUUAGGUUCGGAAUAACUCCCCGAAAGGGGUGCUAAUACCGGAUAAUGUCUUCGGACCAAAGAUUUAUCGCCUUUGGAUGGGCCCGCGUUGGAUUAGCUAGUUGGUAGGGGAAAAGCCUACCAAGGCGACGAUCCAUAGCUGGUCUGAGAGGAUGAUCAGCCACACUGGGACUGAGACACGGCCCAGACUCCUACGGGAGGGAGCAGAGGGGAAUAUUGGACAAGGGGCGAAAGCCUGAUCCAGCAAUGCCGCGUGAGUGAUGAAGGCCUUAGGGAAGUAAAGCUCCUUUACCCGGGAUGAUAAUGACAGUACCGGGAGAAUAAGCACCGGCUAACUACGUG
rnacentral:rRNA from 1 species